UGCAGUCGAACGGUAGCACAGAAGCAAGCUUGCUGCUUGGCUGACGAGUGGCGGACGGGUGAGGAUGCCUGGGAAUCUGCCUGGUGGAGGGGGAUAACUACUGGAAACUUACGCUAAUACCGCAUACCACCUACAGACCAAAGAGGGGGACCUUCGGACCUCUUGCCAUCGAAUGAGCCCAUAUGGGAUUAGCUAGUUGGCGGGGUAACGGCUCACCAAGGCGACGAUCCCUAGCUGGUCUGAGAGGAUGACCAGCCACACUGGAACUGAGACACGGUCCAGACUCCUACGGGAGGCAGCAGUGGGGAAUAUUGCACAAUGGGCGCAAGCCUGAUGCAGCCAUGCCGCGUGUAUGAAGAAGGCCUUCGGGUUGUAAAGCCCUUUUGUUGGGAAGGAAGGCAGUAUGGCUAAUACCUUUGCUCAUUGACGUUACCCGCAGAAUAAGCACCGGCUAACUUCGUGCCAGCAGCCGCGGUAAUACGAAGGGUGCAAGCGUUACUCGGAAUUACUGGGCGUAAAGCGCACGUAGGUGGUUUGUUAAGUCCGAUGUGAAAUCCCCGGGCUCAACCUGGGAACUGCAUCUGAUACUGCAAGACUAGAGUCUCGUAGAGGGGAGGUAGAAUUCCCUGUUGUUAGCGAGUGAAAUGCGUAGAGAUCUAGGAGGAAUCAUCGCAUGGCGAAAG
rnacentral:rRNA from 1 species